CCCAGUCCCGUCAUCAGCCAUGGAACUUAGAAUUCUCUUACCUGUAGCUGCUGCCACCAAGAGGAGGAUCCUCCAGGUCCAGUCCAUGGUGAUGUGCUGUGCUCUGGGGACUUCUACAGGGGAGAGAUGUGGUUGUUGUGUGAUGCUCUCUGGGCAAGGACAGAUCUGUAUUUACCUCGGUAAACACCAGUGCAUUUGCAUAUUCAUGAGGCAGCUACCUAUUUCGUAGCUCAAGCCCCCCAACCUGAGGAAGAAGUUAGGUGACACACGGACCACGCCACAGUGGGAUGCUGAGCUCCAUGCCCUGUACUUUGUUUAAUGAUAUUUGUCCUCUGACAUGCUCAGAAGUCCAUGAAGACAGAACUCGUCUCACAGAAAACCACAAUCUCCCAGGACAUUGUCCUCAAUGUGAUUCCUUGUUCCUAUGGAACUCUGACAACCUGAACAUUUCCUGGGCCUUCACCUCUGCACCUUAACUUCUAGGAUGAGUGUAUCUCCCAGUAGUAACACCCAUUGAAUUAAUAAAACCACCACUCAAUUCCUAACUAUAAAUACAUUUGAAAAGACUAGACAUUUCUCCAUUUAAAUAUGGUUUGCAUUAAAUUAUUGGGUUAGGUAUCGGCUCCAUAUACAAUAAAAUACUUAACGGUACAUCAGUACUUGCUAAAUUCUUAUUUAAAUUUUAGGUCAUUAUUGCUUUGAAAUAAGAAACAUUCAAUUCCUGAGAGAAAACCCCACCCUGUCCUCCUGUGCACCUGCUCCAGGGCUGAAUCCUGUGCUGGGUGCGCCCUGAGGACCCCCCUGAAGCUCAGCUCCUGCCCUGCAUAGAAGUUCCUGUCUGGGCUCACAGAGAAUUCUCCACCCAGCAUAUCAAGCCCAGUAUGAAGUGGCUAUGCCUUGGCUCAGAAUGAAGUUUUAGUGGCAGCAAUUGCUUCUCCCACCAUCUCUUACAGUAGGAAAUAGGCCUUACAGUAGGAGUAGGCCUUAUCCUACAGGGAGACCUCAGCACAGCAAGCAAGGGAUCACUAAGGCCACGAGGGAGCCCCUUCCCUGGAGCUCCAGGUGCACUGAUACGGUCCAGACACAUGUCGAGUCCAGGAACUGAUGGGGACUUUGGGGCAGCCUCUUUUUUAGGAUUCUGUGUUUGAAUAUCCCAUCAGAUUCUAACUUUACACACAGACCCUAUGUCUCAAAGCCCCCCAAAACACACAGUGGCAUAUUUGCACAGUAAUGGGCCUCGAAUUUGCCCUCCUUCAUAGUGUCUUCCCAAAGAAAGGUGCUUCCAACACUGACCUUAGUCCUGCUUAUGUUUGUUGUUGUUUUGUUUUUUCCAGAGCUAAAGCAAGCUCAGUACUACUGGUGAUUUGGAAAGUGCCUUCAUAUUGUUUUUGCCAGUUCUCACCUGAGAACCCUGCAGAUGCCCCAUGAGAGGCUGUGCCCUUUACAAGGAGUCUCCAGUGAUACAGCUGAUUUUCCUCCAUACUCUAAUCCCCUUCAUGGCUGCAGCAUCAACAGAUUGCUCUCUUGAAUCUGACCCCAGUUGUUUUAUUAAUUAUACCCCUUUUUGUGACACAGGAAGGCUAAGAUGAAGCUGUCUUGGAUGGAAAAGAAUUCGUUCUCCUCACAUGGAAUAAAGAUCUUGAAAAGUAUUUUUUCUAUGUAGGGUCUGUCCGGACAAAGUUCUGGGCAUAUUUAUCAGAGAACAGUUCUCCUGAUAUCAGAGCCAUGAGGGAAUCUGUUUGGAUUCUCAUCUUGAGAACCCAGAAGUUUCUGGAGGGAAAUUUCAUAAAAGUGUGGGGUGCGUGGCCCCCAGGAGUUCUUACCCUACCCUAUCCACACUUGUCUGCUAGGCAUUUAUGGAAUUAUCAUGUAACUGUUUCCACCAGCUUGUGCUUUCAAUGGAAGAAUCACCCAAUUUAUAAAUUUAGAAAAGAAACUUUAUUUCUGAUAAAUGGGUGAAGCUGCAGGAUGGCCAUCUUAACAGGCCGGAAAGCAAAGCCUCCCACAGAGACAGUGAGCAGGCACUUCAAGAGAGGGAAAGGUGAGAAAUGAGUUCAUGCAAAUGGAUUGGCCAAGUGCACAUACUCAGCGGGCUAUAGAAGGAGCUAUGAAUAUUCACAUGGUGGGCAGGCUGUCAUGCAUAAUAAGCAAACACAGAUGUUACAUGCAUUUCAUGUUUGCUUUGGGGCGAGGACUUAAGAACUAAACAAAUUACAGUUGGGCCGUGUACAUCAAAAGGGCUUUGUGCAGAGGCAGAAGGACACACAGUGCACAGCCUCCAUAAUUUGGCAAGGACAAGUCCAUGGUGAGUGGUCUCUUCUCAGGAGAAAGUUACUGAAAUCAGUCCUUCUCCAUUCAAAGCUCUUUUUAUGGCUGUGGAACGGGCACAGUUACCCAGUGUCUUGAGUUCCAUGAGCUGCAAAUAUUUUAAUAUUCUUAUCGUAGGACCAGUGCUUUUUAGCUGCUAGAGAAAAUGAAAAGCCCUGUGGCAGUUACAACAUAGUCUAUUUUUUAAGUGUAGGAGUGAGUGACUUAAUUUUUGCUUGAUGUGGACUUGGGUCUUGUUUAUAAUUUGGUAUCUUAUUGCCACAACAAGAUUGUUCCAUCAGUCUGAUGAUCUCUAUUUUAAUGUCUUUCUAGUUUUUGGGUCUUGGUUUUCCCUGCAAUUUGAUUUCUUAAAUAGAUCCAAGAAGUUAUUGAUAAUCAAUUUUCCAGGCUUUCAUUGUUGUAGGAAUGUAGGGGAUGACUGACAUGCUCUUUACAUAUUAAAGUGGAAAACAGAAGUAGCUUCAGAGAUCACCAUUGACCUGACAAGCAGCAGGAAUCUCAUCUCGUUAAGUGUAAGUGGCACCACAGAUGUAGCUGAACAUGCAGUGACACAGAAGACCCACACCACAGAACACAUGAAAAAUUUUAUGAUUCUGAGGUUUUCUCCAGGAAGCUGGAACUCAGGUGGUACUACAGAGAUGGACUCAGUUAUCUCUCAGGUGAUACUAUGUUUUGGAAGCUUAUUUCCACUCCUGCACUGGACUCAUUAGCUGCACCUCGACCAGCACACCUAAAACAGAAACUCUCAAUAAUUAAGCACAAAACUCACCAAUAAUAAAGCUGUCCCCAGAGAAGGUGCAGAGCAGGGAACUCUGCUUUUGGGAACAUGCUGGUGUGCAGGGAGUGUCAGGAGCGUGACCCAUUUCCUUCUGCUCCCCCUGCUGGCUUCACAGACAACUGCAUCCAGGAGCUUUAUGUUGCAAAGUAUAUAAAAUAUGUUAUAAUUGUAGAGAAAUGUAAUACACAGAUUAAGGAAUGAGGAACGUACAUGAAAUUAAACAUAAUAUUAUCACGGAUAAGACAACAAACAAAUAUUAAAAACCUGUGUGUGUACGUGUUUGAGAUAGUAUUCUUGUAAAUUAAAUCAUAAUUUGUUUAUAAAGUCCUUCAACUAUGUACAAAAUCUUUGCCUUUGAUUGCCACAAAGAUGAAGAAGGAUGUGGCACCAGGACUCCAGGGCCAUGCUAGUGAUUUCCCCUCCUAUCUCCUGAGGACACGGUGCUUCCAACUCUGAGGAUCAGGAUGCUGAAAUUGGCUGUGUGAGAAGAGAAAAUGGGAUUUUCUGUGGGAACAGACUAGUGUGAAUGUAACUUUCAAGCAAGUAAGUUUAUUCUACCAUGAGACACACAGCUAUCAUGCUGACUGUGUGUUGCUUUUGACAUUAAUAUGAUAUUAUCAGUAUUGGGUUGUUCCAUGGAAAAUGACCAAUUGUCUCAGAAUUAACUGGAGUCGUUUUCAUUUCAGUUUUUUCACACUUCUAGCUAAAUCACCUAAUUUUACUGUGUUUGAGCUUGGAAAGUUUCAGGGCGUGGGUUACAAAUGAUGGAGUGGAAGGUCUCCCAAGAGUUAGAUGUGGUUCUGCUAAAGGAUGACCCAGGAUUUGUCCAGAAGCUCCCCUCCUUGUCUGUCCCAGCACUUGCUCCUCAGUGCGCCCCAUCCUGCCAGAGUGCUGAGCUUCUCUGCGUUCCUGGACAAUGCACGUCUGGGGCAUCUGCUUCCUAGAUGUGCAUACAUAGGGCGGGCUGCUCUUCAUAAUGGUUGAGAGGGAGCUGGGCCUGGAUCCACCCAGGUGGCCCUACCACUGUGAACUGGGCUUCCUCCCAGCAAGGAGACAAGGUCAGUUGAGUGCCUUCACUUCAGACAACUACUAGGAGGUGAUUUUAGUCAAAUUGUCACAUCCUUUGUCUAUGUAAUCCAGCAAUCAUGCUUUUAAGUGUUUAUCUGACUGCAAAAGUAAGUCCACAAAGAAAACUGCACAUGAGUAAUUGCAAUAGCUUCAUUUACAUUUUCCCAAAACUAUAAACAUUCAGAAAGUUUUUCUGUAGGUGAAAACCAAACUGUGAUAAAUUCAUAUAAUGGAAUUAUAUAGCAAUGAUAAAGAAGUGCUAGCAAACCAUGAAAACACAUGAAUAAAUCUUAAAUGCAUAUUGUCAAGUAAAAUAGUCUGAUAAAGCUAUACAAUAUAUAAUUUAAUUUAUUUGAUCUGGAGAAGGCCAAACUUUAAACAAAGUGAAAAAAAUUAUAUUUGCCGGCAAUUUGGGGAGAAGGUGAGAAUAGAUUAAAAAAUAGAAGACUUUAAAGGAUGAUGAAACUAUUAUGUAUAAUAUUGCAAUGGUAGAUAUAUGAUGUCAUAAAUUUGUCAAAAUCCACAGACUAUACAGCAUGAAGGCUAGAUUUUACUUUACAAAAAAUAAAAGAUUAGGGACCCCAAGAUGGAAUGCAGAUCGUACAGAAAAUAUCUGAUGUCCUUAUUAAUGCAUGAAACAACUUUGUCGAAUAAAGUAUGUGAAAAAGGCUGCUAAAUCACUUUAGAAAUAGUGACACCAAUAAGACUAAAAAAUAAACCAUGUCAGCACUGUCCUCUAGUUGAUGAUGAUGUUCCACAAGGAGCACAGCUUACCAAUUGUGAUUCCACGCUACAAGAAUCCUAGAAUUGGACAACACGGGGUAUAGAUGGUGUGUGGUGGGAGGGGGUUCCUCACACUUGGAGUGGGAGGUUACAGACAGCAAGGAAGAACGGUGAGAAAUGUCCAUGUAGUACUGGAUUAGAGUGAAAGUGCUAGUAAUUUUGUAUGAUUGACAUAAUCUGCAUGCAAUAAAUUAAACGAAAAUACUUCUUUGAAGAAAGUGCAAAAUAGGCUAUGACCUAAAUAACUUUGGAAAUGAGGGAAUUCUGAAAGUCUAAAGUGUAAGUAAACUGCACGUAAUCACUGUACUCUAGUGGAUAAACAUGUUUCCGGCAGAGGUACAGCUUCACAAUUUUGAUUCCGCUAUGCACGUUUCCUGAAAUUGUGCUGCUAAGUAAUACUAUGGAAUAUGGUGGGAUGGAGUUCCUCAUUUGGCAAUGGGUGGUGAUUGACAGGCAAGGCAGGCAGGCUAGAAAUGUCCAUGUGGUAUUGUAAUUGGGUGGAGACAAGAAUGUGUUCUCAUUUUUAAUGUGUUACAGGUACGGAAGACUAGAUAUGUAAAUAGUCGAGAUGUAUCUCUAAACGUGGGUUAAUAAACACCUGCACAUUUUCUAAGCCAUUUAGUUGAGAGGUCCUUGAGGCACUUACAUCCCACUAACAGUAUAUACACCCAACUUCACAAUUCUCUAUUUUAAUACCAUUCUUCAACACCAGAAGCCAGUAAUCUUCAGAAAAACAGCAGAUUCUAUGUAUGGAAAAGAUAAUACGGAAAAUAAGCUUAGGAUUUCUUAUAAUACCAGAAAAUAGGGAAGUGUUCAAAAACAAAAGGAGGAGAUGUCAUGUAAGGAUACAGGAUCCAAAUUAAAUGAACUCCAAGCACAUAAAAAAAACUGUGAUGAUUUGAGCAAAAGCAUAAAUAAUGAAGCAUGGAUCUUCCUCAUAGUAUAAAAUAAGCAUCUUUAAGCCAAUACUAUUAUAAUAGAUGAGUAAAUAAAAUGUGAAAAGAAGGACGAAUCUUCCUUACAGAGUUAUUCAAAAUAUUUUAGGCUGAUAGUAUUCUCAUCAUGUAGGUGAGGUUUAAACACUCGUGUUGAUUGUGGUCUGAGAUUAUAGAGAUGGGAAAAAAAAUCACUGCUAGUUUAUUUUAUAACCAGUUUUUAGAAAUAAUGCCAAAAACAUGGUCUGUGAGUGAAUACAAUUAUUCAUGGUAAUGUAUCCAAAUUUGCAAACACACAUUUUUCUGCAAUAAACACUGAUAAGCAACUAAAAAGACAAAUCACAGACUUGGAGAAAAUAUUUUCAAGUAGCAUUUUUGUUAAAUAAUUUCUUUUAAUUCAGUAAAGAAUUAAAAGAAUUGAUUUCUAUAAUGAAUAUGCAAGUAAACUCAACAACAUUAUAUAAAAAUUGUUAAAUAUAAAUUUUUCAUUAGGGAUAUGAGCAUUGAAACAAAAAUUAGAUUCCAUUGCUCACCUAUUAGAAUGGUUAAAAUGCACAAUCCUCAUGGUGAAAAAUGGCCGUAAGAAUGUGAAAAAACAAGAACUAAUUUGCAUUUAUGUUGGGAAUCCCAAAUGGUGCAUGCACAAAAUGAAAUACAUUUUGACUUUUUUUUUAACAGAGAUAAAAGAGUUGAAAUAUGAUCUAGUGGCUGUGUUUCAAAAUAUUUAAAACACUGAUUCAGAAAUUGAUGUUUACACAGGAAACCAGCUUCUGCUCUCUGACAUAUAUCACCUGGUUUGUGCCAAGAGCAUUAACCCUGGGAGCUCCUCCCAAAAAAAUGGUUGUGCACAGGGGAGAUGUUAAGCUAUGGCUGCUCCUGGGACUCAUCGGAGAUUCCUGAUGGGCAUCUGUAAUCAGGAAGUCAUCAACAGCCUUGCCGGACUUAACUUGCUCCACAGGUUAACUAGGAAGCACCACCAAACUCCCACAUUUCCCCAUCACUAGUUGUAAGACUGGCAUCCUGGCCUGACAGUGUCUACAGCCUCACCCAGCCUCCUGUGUGUUUUUCUGCCUGCCUUACUUACAUCUCACUUUGGGACAAAUAAGAAAUUUUUUAAAUAAACUUUUCUAAUCUAGAGACCUCAGUGGUAGGCACAGAAACACAAAUAUAGAGAGGCUCCCAGGGAAACUGUUCGAUGGAGAGGAAGCCACAGACCCUGAAGGAAAGCGGCCCUUGACCUUCAACUGCACCUGCCCUGGGGAUGCCCCUAACUUCUGUGGGAGUGAGUGCCCUCUGCAGCCCAGGCUCCUUCCUUCUCUCUGCAGGAUAUUUUGCGUUUUGGCUGACACUGGUGUUCCCUCACUUGGUACCUUAUGUACAAUAAUACGAGGCCAUGUUCUCAGCUCUGACUGUUCAUUCACAGGUACAGUGAGUUCUUGGCAUUGUCUUUGGAAA
rnacentral:lncRNA from 10 species